CCGAAACGAGCAGCGGUUUCAAGGCGCCCUCUGAACGCCCGACGCGAGCAAAACAAUGGCUGAAUAAAUCGCAGAAUUCCGUUUUCUUGUCGCUUUCUUCACUUCCGAUCCGCGCAGAUUCACGCACCGAACGCAUUCGAGCCGUCCGCGUUGAGUCCCAGGGUCCGGGCAGCGCCCAGCGCGCAGGUUGUUUAUGUGUAGUAAGGGGAACUUGAAACCGGCCGCCUUGCCCCAUGUCCUCGCUUGUUUUCCUUCUCUCGCUCGGAUUCUCCAUGUUGUCGGAGCGGACUCGACUCUGGCGCAGAAAUAAAUACACCCCGCGCUAACACGCACAACCGGGACGCGCGGCCAAGAGAGCGCUUCGCUGAUAAGAGACCGUGUUGGGCCCCUCCCGUAAGGACCUGAAGACAAGGCGGGAAAGCGUAAAUACGUCGUUAUAAAUAAAUAAAUAUCUUCAUGUCUGUAUUUUUUCAUGAUUGCUUGUGUCAUGUUUACGGUCCGGAGAUUAGUUUAGGUUUUUUUUUUCUUCUUUCUUCCCCCUCCUGUAUAAUGUUGAUGAAUUGCUGUAGUUGAAUAUGCUGACCUGAUGAGUUUUGCACGGAGGAGGAUCGGAGGAUUGGAAAGUUCAGUCAUGGUACAAGUGCAGAGGCGCGAGGGACGUGGAGCAGCCGUCGAAAACAGGUGAACAGUUUCAUGAAUUCAAAUUCCUGAAGACAAAACAUCUUUUACUGAAGCCUUCAAGCUCAGGAUGCCCAGUGGUAGAUGCCACCUACCCAUGAUGGCCCUGUUAAGGAUUGCGUUACUGCUGGCAAGAUCCCAGAUAAAUGAGUCCGGUCAUGAACCUGGAUGAGACGCUAGUGUGGAGUUUGCUUCAGCAGGGCUGAGAUGUCCUCAAGACCCUCACCCUGGAUCCUGAUCUUUCCAGAAAGUGAAUUCCAUGAGGAACCUUCAUCAUCAUCAUCAUCAUCAUACCAGCUGCCCUUGUCUCGGUGGGUGAGGUCCAGUGCUGUAUUGAUGGGAGCGCCUGGACGACGAUGAGAUGCUUCACCUCAUCGCCUUUGGCUGAGGAGCCGAGUUUGCCUGAUGAUGCCCACAGCCGAGAUCGGCUUUUAUUUCUUAAAUAAAUAAAUAUAUAUAUAUAUAUACACUACAGUUGAUAUUUUUACUUUAAGAGUAUAUUAUUGUAUAAUUUUUUGUAACGGAAAAUGGAGACAAUUUACAAAUAUACUAGACUGUGACUGCGGGUUGGACUUCACCACACUGUACAAUUAAAUUCAUCUUUAUUA